UGGGGAAUCUUAGACAAUGGGGGAAACCCUGAUCUAGCCAUGCCGCGUGAGUGACGAAGGCCCUAGGGUCGUAAAGCUCUUUCGCCAGGGAAGAUAAUGACGGUACCUGGUAAAGAAACCCCGGCUAACUCCGUGCCAGCAGCCGCGGUAAUACGGAGGGGGUUAGCGUUGUUCGGAAUUACUGGGCGUAAAGCGCACGUAGGCGGACCAGUCAGUCAGAGGUGAAAUCCCGGGGCUCAACCUCGGAACUGCCUUUGAUACUGCUGGUCUCGAGUUCGAGAGAGGUGAGUGGAAUUCCGAGUGUAGAGGUGAAAUUCGUAGAUAUUCGGAAGAACACCAGUGGCGAAGGCGACUCACUGGACAGUUAUUGACGCUGAGGUGCGAAAGCGUGGGGAGCAAACAGGAUUAGAUACCCGCGUAGUCC
rnacentral:rRNA from 1 species